GACGAACGCUGGCGGCGUGCCUAAUACAUGCAAGUCGAACGCAGUGGGGACGGGUGAGUAACACGUGGGUAACCUCCCAUCAGAGGGGAUAACACUUGGCAACAGGUGCUAAACCGAUACUGAUGGAUGGACCCGCGGUGCAUUAGAUAGUUGGUGAGGUAACGGCUCACCAAGGCCACGAUGCAUAGCCGACCUGAUAGGGUGAUCGGAGACACUGGGACUGAGACACGGCCUAGACUCGUACGAGAGGCAGCAGUAGGGAAUCUUCGGCAAUGGUCGUAAGUCUGAACGAGCAACGCCGCGUGAUUGAAGAAGGUUUUCGGAUCGUAAAACUCUGUUGGUAGAGAAGCGGUAUCUAACGAGAAAGCCACGGCUAACUACGUGCCAGCAGCCGCGGUAAUAC
rnacentral:rRNA from 1 species